ACUAGGGCUGUCGCCCUGGGCUAUGCUCUAUCAGCCCUUUGGGCUU
rnacentral:sRNA from 1 species